GUAUUAGCUAGAUGGUGGGGUAACGGCUCACCAUGGCAAUGAUACGUAGCCGACCUGAGAGGGUAAUCGGCCACAUUGGGACUGAGACACGGCCCAAACUCCUACGGGAGGCAGCAGUAGGGAAUCUUCCACAAUGGACGAAAGUCUGAUGGAGCAACGCCGCGUGAGUGAAGAAGGGUUUCGGCUCGUAAAACUCUGUUGUUAAAGAAGAACAUAUCUGAGAGUAACUGUUCAGGUAUUGACGGUAUUUAACCAGAAAGCCACGGCUAACUACGUGCCAGCAGCCGCGGUAAUACGUAGGUGGCAAGCGUUGUCCGGAUUUAUUGGGCGUAAAGCGAGCGCAGGCGGUUUUUUAAGUCUGAUGUGAAAGCCUUCGGCUCAACCGAAGAAGUGCAUCGGAAACUGGGAAACUUGAGUGCAGAAGAGGACAGUGGAACUCCAUGUGUAGCGGUGAAAUGCGUAGAUAUAUGGAAGAACACCAGUGGCGAAGGCGGCUGUCUGGUCUGUAACUGACGCUGAGGCUCGAAAGUAUGGGUAGCAAACAGGAUUAGAUACCCUGGUAGUCCAUACCGUAAACGAUGAAUGCUAAGUGUUGGAGGGUUUCCGCCCUUCAGUGCUGCAGCUAACGCAUUAAGCAUUCCGCCUGGGGAGUACGGCCGCAAGGCUGAAACUCAAAGGAAUUGACGGGGGCCCGCACAAGCGGUGGAGCAGGUGGUUUAAUUCGAAGCUACGCGAAGAACCUUACCAGGUCUUGACAUACUAGGCAAAUC
rnacentral:rRNA from 2 species